rnacentral:rRNA from 1 species
AGAGUUUGAUCCUGGCUCAGAACGAACGCUGGCGGCGUGGAUUAGGCAUGCAAGUCGAGCACGAAAGUUCCCUUCGGGGAGCGAGUAGAGCGGCGAAAGGGUGAGUAACGCUUGAGUAAGUUACCUCUAGGCCUGGGAUAGCCACUGGAAACGGUGGGUAAUACCGGAUUGUCUCGUGAGCAUCGCGGUGCGCAUGAGUAAAGGUGGGGAUCUUCGGACCUGCCGCCAAGAGAGACGCUCGAGUCCUACCAGCUUGUUGGUGAGGUAAUGGCUCACCAAGGCGAAGACGGGUAGCCGGGCUGAGAGGUUGGCCGGCCACACUGGCACUGAGACACUGGCCAGACUCCUACGGGAGGCUGCAGUCGAGAAUCUUCCGCAAUGGACGAAAGUCUGACGGAGCGACGCCGCGUGGAGGAAGAAGGCUUUCGGGUUGUAAACUCCUGUCAGAGUUUAAGAACGCAGGGGGGUUAAUACCCACUCCUGUUGACAAAGGACUCAAAGGAAGCCACAGCUAACUUCGUGCCAGCAGCUGCGGUAAUACGAAGGUGGCGAGCGUUGUUCGGAUUCACUGGGCGUAAAGGGCACGUAGGCGGUCCCGGAAGCGGCGUGUGAAAUCCCGGAGUUCAACUCCGGAACUGCAUGCCGAACUUCAGGACUAGAGGAUGGGAGGGGAGUGUGGAACUCUAGGUGGAGCGGUGAAAUGCGUAGAUAUCUAGAGGAACGCCGGUGGCGAAAGCGACACUCUGGCCCAACCCUGACGCUGAGGUGCGAAAGCGUGGGUAGCAAACAGGAUUAGAUACCCUGGUAGUCCACGCCGUAAACGAUGAGCACUAGGUAGCCGUGGGAUCCGACCCGUGGCUGCUGCAGGUAAUCCAUUAAGUGCUCCGCCUGGGG